ensembl:lncRNA
GGGCCUGAACAUGGUGGGACAGAUGGGUAAACUCACACGUGCCACUGGGGUUUCCCUCAUCCUGCUUAUCACUGCCAAACUACUAGUUAUGCCAUUGAUGUGUAAGGACAUGGUGGAGCUGUUGGAUGCUGGUAAUUCAAGCUCUGUAAAAACUCCAGCCUGUCUGAUUAUGCAUUCCUUUACGGAGUCUUCCCUACCGCUCCCAGCGUAGCCAGUACAACAUGGAGCUGGAGGUGUGAUAGGAAACAGUGAGGGCGUGAGAAGAUCCUCUGAUGCAGCUGUGAUCAAAUCCUCUUGGACCAGAGCAGCUUUAGCAUGAAGCCCCUUUGUGGUGGACAUGACGGACAUCAGUGUGACCGGGUUGGUCAUGUCAGGAACCUCUGGAAAGCUUUGCAACUGGAGCUGCCAUGACACAGAGCUGUGGAACAGUAACCGGUCCUGGGGUUGCAGAAGCAGGAACCUUGGUUAAAAGUAAUUACAAGAAUGCCUCAGAAAAGUGGAUUUAGUUCAAAGAAACAUAUGCCACGUGGUCUGACAAUUUAUCUAUUGCAGUGACAUAUUGUAAAUGUGGCUGUACAAUCAUGUGUAACUUUACUUUUUGUCUCAAAACCUUACAGUUAGUGAGAUAUUUAACAACCAGUGAAACAACUAGACUCAUUAGAAUUCAAAAUUCGUUUCCAAGCAUCUUCUGGAGUGUGUGGUUGUUCUUUUUUUCUGUGGAUUUAUUGGCGGGUUGAAAACCAACUGGAAAGGUGCACGAGGCCACCUACUGUACUGGAGUAUGAUGAAGAUGAACACAAGGAAGAUAUUCUAUAUUCUGUUCUUUAGACCGCUAUUUCUCAGGAACUUCAUUAAAGCUGUAUUUGUUUUAUCAAAUUCUACUACUGCCUUUAAAUAUUAUCUAAGGUAAAUUCCAUAAUACCCAAUGCUUGCAUAUUUC